rnacentral:rRNA from 1 species
UACGUAGGGGGCGAGCGUUGUCCGGAUUUACUGGGCGUAAAGAGCGUGUAGGCGGCCCGAUAAGUCCGCUGUGAAAGUCCAGGGCUCAACCCUGGAAUGCCGGUGGAUACUGUCGGGCUCGAGUUCGGAAGAGGUGAGUGGAAUUCCUGGUGUAGCGGUGGAAUGCGCAGAUAUCAGGAGGAACACCGGUGGCGAAGGCGGGUCUCUGGGCAAUUCCUGACGCUGAGGCGCGAAAGCGUGGGAGCAAACGGG